rnacentral:rRNA from 1 species
UACGGAGGAUGCGAGCGUUAUCCGGAUUUAUUGGGUUUAAAGGGUGCGCAGGCGGCGUGUCAAGUCAGCGGUAAAAUGUCGGGGCUCAACCCCGGCCGGCCGUUGAAACUGGCGUGCUCGAGUUGGAGAGAAGUAUGCGGAAUUCGUGGUGUAGCGGUGAAAUGCAUAGAUAUCACGAAGAACCCCGAUUGCGAAGGCAGCAUACCGGCUCCACACUGACGCUGAGGCACGAAAGCGUGGGUAUCGAACAGG